GUGGGGAAUAUUCCGCAAUGGACGAAAGUCUGACGGAGCAACGCCGCGUGAGUGAUGAAGGUUUUCGGACUGUAAAGCUCUGUUGUUUAGGACGAAAGUGCCUGUUGCAAAUAGUUACAGGUAUUGACGGUACUGAACGAGGAAGCCACGGCUAACUACGUGCCAGCAGCCGCGGUAAUACGUAGGUGGCAAGCGUUGUCCGGAAUUAUUGGGCGCAAAGAGCAUGUAGGCGGGAAUCUAAGUCUGUUGUGAAAAUGCGGGGCUCAACCCCGUAUUGCGAUGGAAACUGGGUUUCUUGAGUGCAGGAGAGGAAAGGGGAAUUCCCAGAGUAGCGGUGAAAUGCGUAGAUAUUGGGAGGAACACCAGUGGCGAAGGCGCCUUUCUGGACUGUGUCUGACGCUGAGAUGCGAAAGCCAGGGUAGCGAACGGGAUUAGAAACCCGAGUAGUCC
rnacentral:rRNA from 1 species